AUUGAACGCUGGCGGCAGGCCUAACACAUGCAAGUCGAGCGGCAGCGGGAAAGUAGCUUGCUACUUUUGCCGGCGAGCGGCGGACGGGUGAGUAAUGCCUGGGGAUCUGCCCAGUCGAGGGGGAUAACUACUGGAAACGGUAGCUAAUACCGCAUACGCCCUACGGGGGAAAGCAGGGGACCUUCGGGCCUUGCGCGAUUGGAUGAACCCAGGUGGGAUUAGCUAGUUGGUGAGGUAAUGGCUCACCAAGGCGACGAUCCCUAGCUGGUCUGAGAGGAUGACCAGCCACACUGAAACUGAGACACGGUCCAGACUCCUACGGGAGUCAGCAGUGGGGAAUAUUGCACAAUGGGGGAAACCCUGAUGCAGCCAUGCCGCGUGUGUGAAGAAGGCCUUCGGGUUGUAAAGCACUUUCAGCGAGGAGGAAAGGUUGGUGGCUAAUAACUGCCAGCUGUGACGUUACUCGCAGAAGAAGCACCGGCUAACUCCGUGCCAGCCGCCGCCGUAACAC
rnacentral:rRNA from 1 species